rnacentral:misc_RNA from 1 species
GUUGGUGAACCAGCGGAGGGAUCAUUACCGAGUUUACAACUCCCAAACCCCUGUGAACAUACCUAUUGUUGCCUCGGCGGUGCCUGUUCCGACAGCCCGCCAGAGGACCCCAAACCCUGAUUACAUUAAAGAAUUCUUCUGAGUAACCGAUUAAAUAAAUCAAAACUUUCAACAACGGAUCUCUUGGUUCUGGCAUCGAUGAAGAACGCAGCAUCUGACUGACUCCACACCUUCUGAUCUCGUAUGCCGU